CAGUAGCCGCGGUAAUACGUAGGUGGCAAGCGUUGUCCGGAAUUAUUGGGCGUAAAGGGCUCGCAGGCGGUUUCUUAAGUCUGAUGUGAAAGCCCCCGGCUCAACCGGGGAGGGUCAUUGGAAACUGGGAAACUUGAGUGCAGAAGAGGAGAGUGGAAUUCCACGUGUAGCGGUGGAAUGCGUAGAGAUGUGGAGGAACACCAGUGGCGAAGGCGACUCUCUGGUCUGUAACUGACGCUGAGGAGCGAAAGCGUGGGGAGCGAACAGGAUUAGAUACCCGCGUAGUCCCUGUCUCUUAUAC
rnacentral:rRNA from 1 species